UUGGUUUCCAGAAAUUCAUAUUUUUGUUUUUGUUGACAGAGGAGGUGGAGAAGAUGGAAGAAGAAAGGGAUUCAUCCCAAAACAAAGUAUGGCACUCUUACAUCUCAGAGGAUCUGCCUCGCACUGUCCAACAGUCUACCUACUCCGCCAUUCGCUCUGCCCGUUCCAUACAAAAUACAUCCUCCACCCACCUUCGCACUCUUCAGGAUUUUAUGCCAAAGAUUAAAGGCCAGUAUAGAACUUAUGAAGAGGUUUUCUUUAGGAAAAUUAAAGAUGAGUUGGUGUCUGCAAGAGAGCACCCUGCUCUUGCUGGGGGAAUUGGUAUUGCUGCUGGCCUCCUUCUCACGCGAGGACCGAGAAGAUUUCUGUACCGUCAAACACUGGGCCGUCUCCAGAGUGAGGAGGCCAAAUUUAUCAAAGCUGAGAAGAAUGUGAAAGAGUUGGGCCUGUCUGUUGGCUUAAUGAAGAAAGAGAGUAAAAAGUUGCUUGAGAGAGCAUCUCUUGCUGAAAAGGAUAUGAAACGCGGCCAUUCUGACCUCAUGGUUGCUGGGAAUCAGAUUCAAAGUGUUGCAAAAUCUGUCUACAAGGUUGAAGGUCAAGCUGCUGAUUUGAUGGAUGUGCUGCGGGAAAUUCCAGGUAGAGAGGCAUUAAAGCUAAGAGCAGAGGUUGCUUCAAUGGCGUCACAUCUGCGUCAACAAAGAACUGCAAUUGACAAAAGGAUUGUCAAGAUUUCUGAAUUAGGUGUUCCUAUAUGAGAAUUGCCAAUUUCAGAAGAAAUGAAUGAUUUAAGACCAUUGCACUGAUUUUGGUUACGCAAUAACCAUGACAUAUGGAUGAACAAUGAGCUGUGCAUUCUCCUACAUUGUUUAAGCUUUUGAAUGCAAUUUGUUUGUAGAAACUGUAACGAUAUAAGAUUACAUACCAUAAACUGUAAGCUUGUGCAUUUCUUUUUAUAUGUUUUGAGUUAAGCCUUGUGCAGGAACACAAG
rnacentral:misc_RNA from 1 species